ACAAGAAUGAAGGGGAGUUGAGCUGGGAGGGACGGGGGGGGGGGGAGCAUGACUCCCCUAAGUGAGUGCUGAGGUCAAAGGUGGGGGCUCUUCCCUGCCCUCUGAAGCACACACUAACUAUAUGGCUCUUACCCCUGCCUUUCCUCUACCUCCAAGAAGAAGUCCAGACGGCUUCUGUGUCUCUCCUCAGUCGCUCACGGCACGCCCUGAGUGACCCCUGGUCUCCCCAGCCCCUUUACAUCAACCACCUGUGAGGCUGAGGUGGACGGCCUGAUGAGUGUACACAUUUCCACUACUUACAGAGCGGAGCCGAGAAACGCCUCCACCCUCCUCCUCCAUCCCAAGCCUCAGGCCGGCUCCCACCCCUCACAGAACCUUCACUGCGCCCCUUCUUCUCAUCCACACUCUUCCAUAUUCUCCUUUCUGCUUCAUUAUACACCUCCAGAUUUGUGGGGGUGGGGUGGGGCACCCUAUAGGGAUGGCUCAGCAAAUGUGAGCCCCGUAAACAUGAGCACUUUUCAUCAGCAAGGAGGGGACAGGCGUCCUGAGGCAUUUGUUCCCCUGGGAAGCCCACCCACAGGCUGUGUGGCAGAGGACAGAGCGCCACACAUUAGCUGAGUGGCCUUGGGCCCCUCCCCCACCCUCUGUACCACUUCUCUCUUCGUGCUCCAGAACAGUCUCUCACUUAACUACAGAGUCCCUGUCCCGUCUUCAUGGGCAAGCAGGUGCUGAGCACACUUUUACCGCCAGCAGUGUGAAGGAUCUGAAGUAGAUGAACUCAUUUCAUCUCAACCCCGCCCCAGAACACAGUAGCCUAAGCCAAACACGGUUUGGAGGGCAGCGAUCUCAAAGUCAAGAACAGACAGAAGCUCACAGCCUCACUUGUGCCCUCCAGUGCAUCUCUCCAUCAUGCCAACAACGCCCUCACCUUGCAUGUCAAACCAAGGGCUGACUCUAGCACUUUUUGAGAGGAGCAUGCCGAAUGUCACUGUGAUGUGGGGAGAAAAGAAGCUCAUCCCAUUCCCAGGCCCGGUCCUUCCCGGGAAAGAAUGCCUGCCAGAGUGGACAGCUCAUCUUCCCAAAGAUCUGAUCCUAAAGUUCAGGGUGCUUAGUGCAAUUCUAAGACACCCUGAAAACUCUCGAGUGACCACGCCCUUUCACCUGCACAGCUUCACUUCUGGGAUGCAAGCUAUGGGUGAGAAUGCCCCGGUAGAAGCAAGGAACCUGUGAGAGCCGAGCUCUAUCCCAAGGAGACGAAGAGGAAAAGGUUACAGUGGUCCCCAGGCUGUUGGCAGGCUGCUGCUGCUCAGUGAGUCGAGGCCAGUUCUGGUUCCCACGGGUCAGCCCUGGUCAUGGUGCUGCACAGAUGCCCUGGCAGUGGAGGAUGGAGUGGCUUCCCCCACCGGGAGCAGGGAGCUCUUCUUAUUCCAACAGGAUGACUUCCUCUCCAGAGCUGAUAAGAGGCCUACAUUGUGCCCUCGGUUCCCCUAAACCACCAGAAAUAAAA